rnacentral:piRNA from 1 species
UAGGAGCCUUCGCCACAUGCGUGGUUUC